AGACUGUAUAUACCGCAAAGGAUUUAAUGCAUCUUUGCCAUAUAAUCAGUACUAGUACUAUGCAUAAUUCAGCUGGGUUUGUUUAAUUUUAUGUUGUUUGGUUUUCACCUGCCAGUCCUAGCUUGUACCGCUCAGCCUGUAAGCGCGCAUAGAAACAGCUACAGAGGAAAGGUCUCACUCCUUAACUAGCAAUUUACUUCAGCCUGUUUAAAAUAAGUUUACGUUCACCAACUAACAAAAUUAUAAAAAAAAUGAGGCAUUAACAAACUGGAAAUGUAACUAAUUAAUAAAAAAAAUGUCUAUAUACUAAGACAUCAUGAAAUACCCAUGCAUUUCCCUCUUUUUAUUCUGUACCCCUCAUAUGUGCCUUAAUGAAAGAAAG